rnacentral:rRNA from 1 species
UGGGGAAUAUUGCACAAUGGGCGCAAGCCUGAUGCAGCCAUGCCGCGUGUGUGAAGAAGGCCUUCGGGUUGUAAAGCACUUUCAGCGAGGGGGAAGGGUUCAGUGUUAAUAGCACUGUGCAUUGACGUUACUCGCAGAAGAAGCACCGGCUAACUCCGUGCCAGCAGCCGCGGUAAUACGGAGGGUGCAAGCGUUAAUCGGAAUUACUGGGCGUAAAGCGCACGCAGGCGGUUUGUUAAGUCAGAUGUGAAAUCCCCGCGCUUAACGUGGGAACUGCACUUGAAACUGGCAAGCUAGAGUCUUGUAGAGGGGGGUAGAAUUCCAGGUGUAGCGGUGAAAUGCGUAGAGAUCUGGAGGAAUACCGGUGCGAAGGCGGCCCCCUGGACAAAGACUGA